UGGGGAAUUUUGGACAAUGGGCGAAAGCCUGAUCCAGCAAUGCCGCGUGUGUGAAGAAGGCCUUCGGGUUGUAAAGCACUUUUGUCCGGAAAGAAAUCCUUGGCUCUAAUACAGUCGGGGGAUGACGGUACCGGAAGAAUAAGCACCGGCUAACUACGUGCCAGCAGCCGCGGUAAUACGUAGGGUGCAAGCGUUAAUCGGAACUACUGGGCGUAAAGCGUGCGCAGGCGGUUUUGUAAGACGGAUGUGAAAUCCCCGGGCUUAACCUGGGAACUGCAUUCGUGACUGCAAGGCUAGAGUAUGGCAGAGGGGGGUAGAAUUCCACGUGUAGCAGUGAAAUGCGUAGAGAUGUGGAGGAAUACCGAUGGCGAAGGCAGCCCCCUGGGCCAAUACUGACGCUCAUGCACGAAAGCGUGGGGAGCAAACAGGAUUAGAUACCCUGGUAGUCCACGCCCUAAACGAUGUCAACUAGCUGUUGGGGAUUCAUUUCCUUAGUAACGUAGCUAACGCGUGAAGUUGACCGCCUGGGGAGUACGGUCGCAAGAUUAAAACUCAAAGGAAUUGACGGGGUCAUAGCUGUUUCC
rnacentral:rRNA from 1 species